rnacentral:rRNA from 1 species
AGUGAACGCUGGCGGUAGGCCUAACACAUGCAAGUCGAACGGCAGCACAGUAAGAGCUUGCUCUUACGGGUGGCGAGUGGCGGACGGGUGAGGAAUACAUCGGAAUCUACUUUUUCGUGGGGGAUAACGUAGGGAAACUUACGCUAAUACCGCAUACGACCUACGGGUGAAAGCAGGGGAUCUUCGGACCUUGCGCGAUUGAAUGAGCCGAUGUCGGAUUAGCUAGUUGGCGGGGUAAAGGCCCACCAAGGCGACGAUCCGUAGCUGGUCUGAGAGGAUGAUCAGCCACACCGGAACUGAGACACGGUCCAGACUCCUACGGGAGGCAGCAGUGGGGAAUAUUGGACAAUGGGCGCAAGCCUGAUCCAGCCAUACCGCGUGGGUGAAGAAGGCCUUCGGGUUGUAAAGCCCUUUUGUUGGGAAAGAAAAGCAGCAGGUUAAUACCCCGCUGUUCUGACGGUACCCAAAGAAUAAGCACCGGCUAACUUCGCG